GCCACCAUAGCUCAGAGGUUAGAGCACUGGUCUCGUAAACCAGGGGUCGCGAGUUCGAAUCUCGCUGGUGGCU
rnacentral:tRNA from 1 species